CACAUCCUCUGUUUUCAUCUUAUUUCUAAAAUAUUAAUAAUAAUAGCUAUAUAGCUAUUAUACACCUCUUUAGAUCUCUGAUUAUAGCUUAUACCAUUUUCCCAAUUUGGGUUUUUUUUCUUUUGGAAUAAAUGUUCAAUCUUUACAAAUGAUGCAUUUGAUUGUUUUUUGAUUGAUGGUAGAAGGAUCCAUGUUCUUGGAUUGAAUCCAACACUUUCCACUUGCUGUUUGAUCAGUAUUCCCACCUGGAAUCUGCCUGAUUUGCUAGAUAAGAAAUGAUGGAGUCAGAUCUUGGUAAGCUAUUCGUAGGUGGGAUUUCUUGGGACACGGAUGAGGAUCGUCUUAAAGAAUAUUUCAGUUCAUAUGGAGAAGUGGUGGAAGCUGUGAUCAUGAGGGAUCGUAAUACUGGCCGUGCUCGUGGUUUUGGUUUUGUUGUCUUUGCUGAUCCUGUUGUUGCUGAAAGAGUAGUUAAGGAGAAGCAUAUGAUUGAUGGACGAACGGUUGAGGCAAAGAAGGCUGUUCCUAGGGAUGAUCAACAAAUAAUAAAUAGAAACAAUAGCAGCAUUCAAGGAUCUCCAGGUGGCGGACGCACAAAAA
rnacentral:misc_RNA from 1 species